GACGAACGCUGGCGGCGUGCUUAACACAUGCAAGUCGAACGGAAAGGCCCUGCUUGCAGGGUACUCGAGUGGCGAACGGGUGAGUAACACGUGGGUGGUCUGCCCUGCACUUCGGGAUAAGCCUGGGAAACUGGGUCUAAUACCGGAUAGGAGCCAUUUUUAGUGUGAUGGUUGGAAAGUUUUUUCGGUGUAGGAUGAGCUCGCGGCCUAUCAGCUUGUUGGUGGGGUAAUGGCCUACCAAGGCGGCGACGGGUAGCCGGCCUGAGAGGGUGGACGGCCACAUUGGGACUGAGAUACGGCCCAGACUCCUACGGGAGGCAGCAGUGGGGAAUAUUGCACAAUGGGCGCAAGCCUGACGCAGCGACGCCGCGUGGGGGAUGACGGCCUUCGGGUUGGAAACUCCUUUCGCUAGGGACGAAGCUUUUUGUGACGGUACCUAGAGAAGAAGCACCGGCUAACUACGUG
rnacentral:rRNA from 1 species